GUAAUUUCACGAACGUGAUGAAAAAGGUAAUACGACAAAAGUAAAUAUAUAGUCCAAAACGAUCAUCAUCAUUGCUCGAGUUGAUCAAACGAUAUAAUUGAUUUAGAUCUCGACCGUCAUUAUUUUUUUUUAAAUUUUUUUUUGGUUUGUAAAACAUAUUUGUGAACACACACAGUACUCUCUCGUAUGUGCUCUCAACUAUUCCUGUCGCCUCAUUUAGACAUUUAUCUCACAAUUCUUCUGUAUAAGUCAACCUCUGAGUGAUUUAAUCGUUUACACGUUCUGUGUUUUUGCUUUUUUUUUUUUUUUUUUAAUUCUUUUGACUUUGCUUAUUUUACUUUUUAGUUAUAGAUAUUAUUAACCGGAGUAUUUGUAUAUAUAUUUCUAGGUUUGCUAAAACUAAGUUAUAUAGGUAUCACCAAUUAAUCAAAAAUUAUAAUGGCUAUUGGAUUUACUGACUUAUAA
rnacentral:lncRNA from 1 species